CACACACACACGGGUUUGGCCGUGGCUCUCAGUAGUAGACACUUGAAAGGACACCCUAGAGAGGGGUCCUUUUCACAGUAAUAGUGCCCGGCAGCACUUAGCGUGGACCGGGUGGCUCACUCCCACUGUAGUGAAGGGGGUGAGGGUUCUCGAUUCCACUGCAGCCCCGCUCUUCCCUUCCCGCCGAGUGGGGGGAAGAAGAGUCUUUCAUGGACACAGCACUUCACCGGCUGCGCGCUCACGCACACUCCAGAGCACUCACUCACCCAUCGUCAGCCGUGGAGUGUCGAGAUCUCAAAUUUGAGUGAACGAACAAGUGGGAAUUGGCGAUGAGUGUGAAAUAUUUCUGAUUAUAUUCAGAUGGUUCACACUCAAAAUGCUGAAACUCAGCUGCCACAACAGAAUGGACACAUGCAACAAAUGCCCAGCAUACACACACAGAUGGAUCAGUGCUACUUGGAGUAAACUCUACAAGGCUGCUGGAGGGAUGAGCCACGUCUGCUGCUUACCUUCAGAUUGUAAAGAUGGAGGGUCGUCGCUAUAACUUUCCAGGUGGAAGCCUGUUCCUGGAUGAAAGCUGCAGUGGAAGUUCCCUCUCAUGGAGCGAAGGAACUCAAGGAGGGAAAGAGGAGAGGGGAAGAGGAAAGACGGCGCAGAGGGAAGGACUGAGUGGUACUUAUUGGAUGAAGACUUCAAAGCAGCACAGCAGCCAGACGGACUGAGGCUCCGGGGAAAUUAUUUACCUGACAAGCACACAGCUUUCCAAACAUUACACAACAUUACUGACCAAACAUUUAGAAAACAGAACCCUCUCUCCACAGAUUUAGUUAGGUGAAUCACAUCCGGUGAGUAAGCAGAUUAUUCAACAGAGGGACGAGAUGUCUCUGCUGUCUCUCUCGUCCCCCGUCACUCCAACUUUUCAAAAUCACAGAUGAUCAACACACUGGAACUGCUCACUGUGACGCUACAAUGAAGUUUACUUUUCUGCAGCUGUGUAACAUCUGUGGCUCAAAGAAGCUCAAAGUGGAAAAAAUAAACCUAAUGCUGCUGUCAGAUCAUCCCUCUACUGAGUUGCAUUAUGGGAACUCUAGGCUUUUGGAGCUUGACCCAACAAGAAACUAAAGGUCAGUGGACCUCUUCCUCUGCUGCUUUGAUCGUUCUUUUAAUCCAUGGCUCCUCUUUAUUUAGUAUCACUAUGACAGCUUGUAUCAAACGUCUAGUUGAUAUCGUACUUGUAUGACGUCCUAGCUAUUUUGUUUCAAAUAAUAGGAUAAUUAGUACUUUUUUUUCAAAAAGUGUUCAAAAAUGAUAUUUAACCACUUGAGAACGGUGUUUUAUUCACCAUUUAAAGAGAAGCUGAUCCAAUAGAAUCACAUAGCUGGCCACUUCUGUAGUUUCUAACAUAUUAAAACUAAGAAAGACCUUUCGUCAAAAAAAUAUUUAUAAACACAUGUUCUAAUCAUAGUUGCAAGCACAAUUCCAAGUGACUUAAAGCUGUGGAUCCCAAGAUCGCAAUCUUUGUAUAUCACUGCAGGCAGAGUGCAGUGGGCAUUACGUCGGGGAGGUCUCACAGAAAAAGCGUGACCGUGGGAACACACAUGUUCAAAUAACAGUGACCCUUUUUCCCCUGAUAUCAUUUUUUUCCUAAACUGUC
ensembl:lncRNA